rnacentral:rRNA from 1 species
GUGGGGAAUUUUGCGCAAUGGGGGAAACCCUGACGCAGCAACGCCGCGUGAGUGAUGAAGGCCUUCGGGUCGUAAAGCUCUGUCAAGUGGGAAGAACAUGAUUGAUGCUAAUACCAUCUUUCACUGACGGUACCACUAAAGGAAGCACCGGCUAACUCCGUGCCAGCAGCCGCGGUAAUACGGAGGGUGCAAGCGUUAUUCGGAUUUAUUGGGCGUAAAGGGCGCGCAGGCGGUUUCUAAAGUCAGAUGUGAAAGCCCGGGGCUCAACCCCGGAAGUGCAUUUGAAACUUAGGGACUUGAGUAUGGGAGAGGGAAGUGGAAUUCCUGGUGUAGCGGUGAAAUGCGUAGAUAUCAGGAGGAACACCAGUGGCGAAGGCGACUUCCUGGACCAAUACUGACGCUGAGGCGCGAAGGCGUGGGGAGCAAACAGGAUUAGAUACCCGAGUAGUCC